rnacentral:rRNA from 1 species
GACGAACGCUGGCGGCGUGCUUAACACAUGCAAGUCGAACGGAAAGGCCCUGCUUUCGUGGGGUGCUCGAGUGGCGAACGGGUGAGUAACACGUGAGUAACCUGCCCUUGACUUUGGGAUAACUUCAGGAAACUGGGGCUAAUACCGGAUAGGAGCUCCUGCUGCAUGGUGGGGGUUGGAAAGUUUCGGCGGUUGGGGAUGGACUCGCGGCUUAUCAGCUUGUUGGUGGGGUAGUGGCUUACCAAGGCUUUGACGGGUAGCCGGCCUGAGAGGGUGACCGGCCACAUGGGGACUAAGAGACGGCCCAGACUCCAACGGGAGGCAGCAGUGGGGAAUAUGGCACAAUGGGCCGGAGCCUGAUGCAGCAACGCCGCGUGCGGGAUGACGUCCUUCGGGUUGUAAACCGCUGUCGCCUGUGACGAAGCGUGAGUGACGGUAAUGGGUAAAGAAGCACCGGCUAACUACGUG